GGGCGCGUGGCGGCCGGCUAAACAUGCAAGUCGAGCGGGGGAGGUUGCUUCGGUAACUGACCUAGCGGCGGACGGGUGAGUAAUGCUUAGGAAUCUGCCUAUUAGUGGGGGACAACAUUCCGAAAGGAAUGCUAAUACCGCAUACGCCCUACGGGGGAAAGCAGGGGAUCUUCGGACCUUGCGCUAAUAGAUGAGCCUAAGUCGGAUUAGCUAGUUGGUGGGGUAAAGGCCUACCAAGGCGACGAUCUGUAGCGGGUCUGAGAGGAUGAUCCGCCACACUGGGACUGAGACACGGCCCAGACUCCUACGGGAGGCAGCAGUGGGGAAUAUUGGACAAUGGGCGGAAGCCUGAUCCAGCCAUGCCGCGUGUGUGAAGAAGGCCUUUUGGUUGUAAAGCACUUUAAGCGAGGAGGAGGCUCCUUUAGUUAAUACCUAAAGAGAGUGGACGUUACUCGCAGAAUAAGCACCGGCUAACUCUGUGCCAGCAGCCGCGGUAAUACAGAGGGUGCGAGCGUUAAUCGGAUUUACUGGGCGUAAAGCGUGCGUAGGCGGCUUUUUAAGUCGGAUGUGAAAUCCCUGAGCUUAACUUAGGAAUUGCAUUCGAUACUGGAAAGCUAGAGUAUGGGAGAGGAUGGUAGAAUUCCAGGUGUAGCGGUGAAAUGCGUAGAGAUCUGGAAGGAAUACCGAUGGCGAAGGCAGCCAUCUGGUCCUAAUACUGACGCUGAGGUACGAAAGCAUGGGGAGCAAACAAGGAUUAGAUACCCUGAUAGUCCAUGCCGUAAACGAUGUCUACUAGCCGUUGGGGGCCUUUGAAGGCUUUAGUGGCGCAGCUAACGCGAAUAAGUAAGACCGCCUGGGGGGAGUACCGGUCGCAAGAACUAAAAACUCCAAAUGAAAUUGAACGGGGGGC
rnacentral:rRNA from 1 species